GACGAACGCUGGCGGCGUGCUUAACACAUGCAAGUCGAACGGAAAGGCCCUGCUUUUGUGGGGUGCUCGAGUGGCGAACGGGUGAGUAACACGUGAGUAACCUGCCCUUGACUUUGGGAUAACUUCAGGAAACUGGGGCUAAUACCGGAUAGGAGCUCCUGCUGCACGGUGGGGGUUGGUAAGUUUCGGCGGUUGGGGAUGGACUCGCGGCUUAUCAGCUUGUUGGUGGGGUAGUGGCUUACCAAGGCUUUGACGGGUAGCCGGCCUGAGAGGGUGACCGGCCACAUGGGGACUGCGAUACGGACCAGACUCCUACGGGAGGCAGCAGUGGGGAAUAUUGCACAAUGGGCGGAAGCCUGAUGCAGCAGCGCCGCGUGCGGGAUGACGGCCUUCGGGUUGUAAACCGCUUUCGCCUGUGACGAAGCGUGAGUGACGGUAAUGGGUAAAGAAGCACCGGCUAACUACGUG
rnacentral:rRNA from 1 species